CACGUAGGGGGCAAGCGUUGUCCGGAUUUAUUGGGCGUAAAGAGCUCGUAGGCUGUUCGAUAAGUCGGGUGUGAAACCUCCAGGCUCAACCUGGAGCACGCCACCCGAUACUGUCAUGAGCUAGAGUCCGGUAGGGGAGCGUGGAAUUCCUGGUGUAGCGGUGAAAUGCGGCCAGACGUAUCAGGAGGAACACCAUGGCGAAGGCGCAGCUCGUGGGACG
rnacentral:rRNA from 1 species